GCUGGGCACAGUGGCGCACGCCUGUAAUCCCAGCGGCUCGGGAAGCUGAGACAGGAGAAUUGCCUCAGCAAAAGCAAGGCUCUAAGCAACUCAGUGAGACUCUGUCUCUA
rnacentral:sRNA from 1 species